CUAAGUGUUUUCUCUAAAUAGUUUUAAGUGUUUAAAAGAAUAUGUAAUUUUAUACUUCCUAAGCCCCUUUCUGUCAGAGCAUAAGAAGUCCACAGAGAUUAAGGAUUCAAUUUAAAAGUAAUCAAAUACUCAUUUUUCCUAUGAAUAUUGAGACCAUUGACUUGCCAGAACUCACACCUGAAUCUGUCAAAUCCUGGGGGCUUUCCCAUAAUUUUCCCUCCAUCUCUGUUCAUUCACAGACUGGUUUUUUCAAGCUCUGACUGCCUGGUGUAACCCAAAAACUCUGGAGCAGAAGCAAAGCUUUCAAGAGCAGCAGGAAAACUGUUCCCAGCCCUGAAUUUCUCCAUCCCUCUGCAGCCCUCAAAGGCAAAUGUGAAUUCUGAGAGUCAGGAGCAGCAUUUUCUGUCUGGAAAAGGCUCUGGAGGCUCCAGACGAAGCUGUACCGCAGAGCUGAUGCUGCACUUUGUCACCUGCUGUGUCCCCAAGCCACGUUCAGCUUCUUCUGCUCUACAGCUGGAGACUUCCCUUUGUAGAAACAAAGACAUUGUGGGACAACAAACUGAGAAAUGAUUUGUUCAGACCAUCCAAUCUGACCUCUAAAUAGCACAGCCAACCCUUUUACCUCAACGCUGCAGAUCUAAACCUGAUCUUUCCCAAAAAUGCCUGGUGUUAUCUUAGAGAAAUCAAGGAAUUAAACACCUUUAAGAAGCCCCAACAAAUUAACAACCAACAAAUUCUGCUGCUGAGACUGCAAACCUUUACAGUCCCCUCCCCCUAAAACAUUUUAAGUUUCUUAUAGAGUUCUGCAGAGAUAUUUUUGUUAGAUUUCCAAUCAAAUUUAUAUUAAAGUGAGCACUUCUUCUCUUUCUAGAUCUCAUCCUGUAAUAAUUUCUACUGCUCUGAGAAAUUCUUCUGCUGUUUUUAAUCUUUCCUCUCCUCUCUCAGAGGAAACCUUCUCUGCCCUGUUCUUACUCUCUUGCUCACUCACCUUUCUUUAAAUAAACAUUUGCGUUCCAUUUC
rnacentral:lncRNA from 1 species